rnacentral:lncRNA from 1 species
UAGAGAUGGGGUUUUACCUUGUUAGCCAAGAUGGUCUUGAUCUCCUGACCUCGUGAUCCGCCCGCCUCGGCCUCCCAAAGUGCUGGGAUUACAGGCGUGAGCCACCAUGCUCGGUCCUAUAUUCCUUUUAAUUCCUGUCGAGUAUCUUCAGGUGACUACAGAUGUGUUAACACCCAGCAUGUUCCGGUAGGAGACUUUCUGGAUGGGGAAGAUUUCCAGGUGUGAAUCACGGCAAUACAGUGAAAGACGGUGAUUUACUGCUUUUGAGGGCGUGCAUGUAUAUGAUUAAGGGAUGGAAGUGCAGGACUCCAAGAUUUACUUCCUUCCCUUUCCAGCAGAACUACCUGAGAGGAGUGAGUAAUGGGAUAAUUUGUAAUACCACAGGCCCCUUUUCAAGGGAUCAGUAAUCAAAACAGGAAGAUGAAACUGAGAAGAUUUCAACUGGAAGAAUACAACUUUUGAUACUUUCUGGAUAUACCUCUUAAUUGCAAGCAGGAGAGUCUUCAGAGUUUUCCUGUUUUUUUUUUUUUUUGUUGUUGUUGUUGUUGUUUGAGAUGGAGUUUUGCUCUUAUUACCCGGGCUGGA